rnacentral:lncRNA from 1 species
GCAGGUCUCACACUGGAGAGAAGCCCUACAAAUGUAAAGAAUGUGGCAAAGCUUUCAUUCAAAAAUCAGACCUUAUUUGCCACAGCAGAACUCACACUGGAGAGAAGCCCUACAAAUGCAAAAAUUGUAGUAAAGCUUUCAGUCGAAAAUCACACCUUAUUUGCCACAGGAGAACUCACACUGGAGAGAAGCCCUACAAAUGUAAAGAAUGUGGCAAAGCUUUCAGUCAAAAAGCAGACCUUAUUUGUCACAGGAGAACUCACACUGGAGAGAAGCCCUACAAAUGUAAAAAUUGUAGCAAAGCUUUCAGUCAAAAAUCACACCUUAUUUGCCACAGUAGAACUCACACUGGAGAGAAACCCUACAAAUGUAAAGAAUGUGGCAAAGCCUUCAGUCAAAAAGUAGGACUUAUUUACCACAUCAGAUCUCACACUGGAGACAAGCCCUACAAAUGUAAAGAAUGUGGCAAAGCUUUCAUUCAAAAUUCAGACCUUAUUUGUCACAGCAGAACUCACACUGGAGACAAGCCCUACAAAUGCAAAAAUUGUAGUAAAGCUUUCUUUCGAAAAUCACACCUUAUUAGCCACGGCAAAACUCACACUGGAAUGAAGCCCUACAAAUGUAAAGAAUGUGGCAAAGCUUUUAGUCGAAAAUCACACCUUACUUGCCACAGCAGAACUCACACUGGAGAGAAGCCCUACAAAUGUAAAGAAUGUGGCAAAGCUUUCAGUCAAAAAUCACACCUUAUUUGCCACAGCAGAACUCACACUGGAGAGAAGCCCUACAAAUGUAAAGAAUGUGGCAAAGCUUUCAGUCAAAUAUCAAACCUUAUUUACCACAGAAGAACUCACACUGGAUAGAAGCCGUAUAAA